ACCCAUUUAUGUCUAGUGGAUUCUCCCAUCCUUCCAAAUUGGAUCAAUUUAUUUCUAAAAUUUGGGAUGUCUAGUAUAUUUAUUUCUAUAUUUAGAAUAUUUCUUACAAAAAUUCCUGUAAGCAAACGGGCGUAUACCCAGAUGAGACGCCGCAUGAUGCAAGGUCUUUUUUCUAGACGCUAGGCAUAAAUGGGUUAAAUUGUAGGAAUUGACUCUAACUUUUGUUGAGUGAGUUAAUGAUCAUGUGAGUUCAGUUUUAAGAAUGGAUUUAAUACUUAUCAUUUUGAAUUAUGUGUUUUAUCAAUCGUUGAUAUAUUUAAGGGAUAGAUCCAAACGAUGUUAACAAUCUUCACAUUUUUGUUUCAUUUAAGCUUAUUUUAUUUACAUAUGUAUGCAUGUAAAGCUCAUUCUAGUUUUUACCAAGCAUGUGUUGUUUUUUAACUCUUUCAGUGCUGGAACCGAAUUUUUAAGGCCUUUGCAAACAGUUUGGAUCCAGAUGAGACGUGGCGUCUCAUCAGGAUCCAAACUGUUUGCUAUUUUGAUAGUAUUCUUUAAAAAAAAUCGAAGAAAAUGCUAAUUUUAGAAAUUCAGGAGACUACAUUUUAGCAGACGACAAAUUUCCCAGCAUGCAAAGGGUGAGGUCAUAGUGUAAAUAUGCGUUAUUGUUCGUUCAAUAUAAGUUUUUUUUAAUACAUGCUGUUUGUUGUGAGUUAUUUUAAGACUAAAGUAAAUUUUUAGAAGAACAAUUUCAGGCUUUUUCUAGCUCUUUCCAAUAACUUUGUGCAAAAUGUUGAAUCUGAUUUAAUAAAUAAGCUGUUGUGUUCAUAUUUAUAUUGUUAUUCACCGAACGAAAACAACGAUUGGCAUCGUCUAUUUAUUGAUUUGUAUAAUUCGAGAAAGCCGUGGUCUUAAUUUGUAGGAAAUACGUACAUGAUGCUCAUAAUUAUAUACUUAGAAUAUUUUAUGAAUAUAUAUUUUUUUGGUGUCAAUAACUUUUUAUAAAAAGACCUUCUCAAAUGGUGAGAUCUAUGUUAUUGUCCCCUACCGGUUUCACCGGGGGGACUUAUGGUUUGCGCUCUGUAUGUCCGUCAGUCUGUCACACUUUUCUGGAUCCUGCGAUAACUUUAAAAGUUCUUAAUAUUUUUUCAUGAUACUUGAAGCUCGGAUAGAUGGCAAUAUGGACAUUAUGCACAUCAUUUUAUUUUGUUCCUACGUCAAAAAUUCUGGUUGCUACGGCAACAAAUAAUAAAUUUGUCUGACUUUGGUGGAGCCAAUAGGGGACAUAUAUUGCUUGGCAAUAGUCUUGUUCAUAACAUGUGUUAUGCACUGGAUUUGCAUUUCAGCGAGCUGCCAUGAUUUAUUACAGCACAUUUGUAUUUUUACAGUUAUAGCCCUCUCAUAGAACACAAUUUAUUCGGCCGAGGGUAUCAACUCAAUAGAUUUACUUGUUUAUAGUUUGUGUUAUGCCCGGUGACUGUGUAUGCAAUGAAGCAUUACUUUCUAAUGUGCGGUCUUGAUUUAUUCAAAGACCUAUAAAAUACAUAAUAAUUCAUUAAGUAAUUUCUUUAUCCGACAUCGGCGAAGGGGGAUCGGUUACCAUACACGCGCGGCCAUUUUAACAGCUACGCGCUUGAAGCUAACCACAUGACCCUGCCGCGAGAUGUUUAUGGGAUAGCGCGUGGUUUCCCAUCCUGGUAUUAUACGUCUUUUAUGUUUUUCAGCACAUGGGUCCUACCGCUAUGGCAGUGCGAGCGAGUUAUCGGCCUUGAGGCUCAACCUGAAGCAUAUCUGUCAGUAUUGCUCCAAGCCCAUGUCCUCCAACGCCGCGCUGGAGAGGCAUAUACGCAUCCAUACUGGGGAGAAACCGUUUGCCUGCACUGUCUGUGACCAUAAGGCUAACACCAAGGGGAACUUGAAGAUUCAUAUGCUCGUUCAUUCAAAAUUACGUUAACCCUUUGCAUGCUGGGAAAGUUGUCGUCUGCUAAAAUGUCAGCUGCUUAAUUUCUAAAAUUAGCAUUUUCUUCGAUUUUCAAAGAAUACUAUCAGAAUAGCAAACAGUUUGGAUCCUGAUGAGACGCCACGUUCUGUGGCGUCUCAUCUGGAUCCAAAUUGUUUGCAAAGGCCUUCAAAAUUCGGCUCCAGCACUGAAAGAGUUAAAUAGUUGUGGAGAAGUGAACAAACUUAAUAAUUUGUUUUCAGGUUUUACAUUUUCCUGUUCAGUGUUAUUCAUUAUUUACAAUAUGUUGUACAGUAGUUUUAAAUUGUUUCCUCAUGUUAUUCACUUGUUUGCGGAGCUGCCCAUAGAAUAGGUUAACCUUGUGUUGUAUGCACCUCAGCAUCUACAGAUGAUAUGAGGCAAAUAGCAAUUUGCCUAUCCGUUCAUUUGUUGGUUCAUUGCUUAAUUUUGUUGUUUUUUUGACGUGACACAUUUGGUUUGACAUCAAUAAGACUUCUUGUAAUGCCUUGGGACUUGAAUAGAUGUUGUCUUUGGACACUAAAUAUCAGUUUGACCUUGACAUUGACAUACUUUUGGAUUUUGACUGAACCAUAAGGUGCGAUGUUUUGGUGAACCCUUUUGACUGAACCAUAAGGUGCGAUGUUUUGGUGAACCCUUUUGACUGAACCAUAAGGUGCGAUGUUUUGGUGAACCCUAUUGACUGAACCAUAAGGUGCGAUGUUUUGGUGAACCCUUUUGACUGAACCAUCAAGUGCGAUGUUUUGGUGAACCCUUUUGACUGAACCAUAAGGUGCGAUGUUUUGGUGAACCCUUUUGACUGAACCAUAAGGUGCGAUGUUUUGGUGAACUAUAUUGACUGAACCAUAAGGUGCGAUGUUUUGGUGAACCCUUUUGACUGAACCAUAAGGUGCGAUGUUUUGGUGAACCCUUUUGACUGAACCAUUAGGUGCGAUGUUUUGGUGAACCCUUUUGACUGAACCAUAAGGUGCGAUGUUUUGGUGAACCCUAUUGACUGAACCAUAAGGUGCGAUGUUUUGGUGAACCCUUUUGACUGAACCAUAAGGUGCGAUGUUUUGGUGAACCCUUUUGACUGAACCAUAAGGUGCGAUGUUUUGGUGAACCCUAUUGACUGAACCAUAAGGUGCGAUGUUUUGGUGAACCCUUUUGACUGAACCAUAAGGUGCGAUGUUUUGGUGAACCCUUUUGACUGAACCAUAAGGUGCGAUGUUUUGGUGAACCCUAUUGACUGAACCAUAAGGUGCGAUGUUUUGGUGAACCCUUUUGACUGAACCAUCAAGUGCGAUGUUUUGGUGAACCCUUUUGACUGAACCAUAAGGUGCAAUGUUUUGGUGAACCCUUUUAACUGAACCAUAAGGUGCGAUGUUUUGGUGAACCCUUUUGACUGAACCAUAAGGUGCGAUGUUUUGGUGAACCCUUUUGACUGAACCAUAAGGUGCGAUGUUUUGGUGAACCCUAUUGACUGAACCAUAAGGUGCGAUGUUUUGGUGAACCCUUUUGACUGAACCAUAAGGUGCGAUGUUUUGGUGAACCCUUUUGACUGAACCAUAAGGUGCGAUGUUUUGGUGAACCCUAUUGACUGAACCAUAAGGUGCGAUGUUUUGGUGAACCCUUUUGACUGAACCAUCAAGUGCGAUGUUUUGGUGAACCCUUUUGACUGAACCAUAAGGUGCAAUGUUUUGGUGAACCCUUUUAACUGAACCAUAAGGUGCGAUGUUUUGGUGAACCCUUUUGACUGAACCAUAAGGUGCGAUGUUUUGGUGAACCCUUUUGACUGAACCAUAAGGUGCGAUGUUUUGGUGAACUAUAUUGACUGAACCAUAAGGUGCGAUGUUUUGGUGAACCCUUUUGACUGAACCAUAAGGUGCGAUGUUUUGGUGAACCCUUUUGACUGAACCAUAAGGUGCGAUGUUUUGGUGAACCCUUUUGACUGAACCAUAAGGUGCAAUGUUUUGGUGAACCCUUUUUACUGAACCAUAAGGUGCGAUGUUUUGGUGAACCCUUUUGACUGAACCAUAAGGUGCAAUGUUUUGGUGAACCCUAUUGACUGAACCAUAAGGUGCGAUGUUUUGGUGAACCCUUUUGACUGAACCAUAAGGUGCGAUGUUUUUGUAAACCCUUUUGACUGAACCAUAAGGUGCGAUGUUUUGGUGAACCCUUUGACUGAACCAUAAGGUGCAAUGUUUUGGUGAACCCUUUCUCCUUAGAAGCCAAGUGAAAAUGGGUAUGUGCAAACAGCAUAAAACCAGAACAGCCUGUGAGUUACUCACUGUCUGUUCAGGUUUUAUGCUGUUUGCUGUUCAUCAGUACCUAAGGGUUGGAAUAGAGGCCUUAAAAACUUGAAUACAGUAAGAAAGGUCUUUAAUUAAUGAUAACUUUCUAAGGGACUACACAUGCGUGAAAAUGCGUAUCUAAGAGGUAAAGGGGUAAAUCAUCACGACUUUUUUCGUGUCAAACUUCGAAGGUUCGAUACUUGAAAGGAUAAUAUAUGUGAACACUAUUAACACACACACACAUCACAUCACAUCACCUGACAAAUACUUGAAUAGAUGCGCAUGUUUGUCUGUGACCACUAUUAAAGGGUCCUUUUCACAGAUUUUGGCAUGUUUUGAAAUUUGUCAGUAAAUGUUUUCUAUUGAUAAAUGUAAACAUUUGCUAUAAAAAGCUCCAGUAAAAUAUCAAGAAUAAAACUUAAAAAAGAAGAAAAAAAGUAACCUUCAACAGGGCUUGACUUGAACCACUGAUCCCUGGAGUCCUGGAGUGACAAGUCUUAACACUUAAACCUCUCGACUAUUCUCCCGCAUUCAAAGAAAGUUGUAUUUUAUACUAAUAUAAACAACAGAAAUCUCCAAAUUAUUCAAUGGUUUCGCGUUGCAACACUUUGUAAUUUUCAGGUUUUUAAAUCUUCAAAAGAUGCAUUUAAUGGCUGUCUUAGAGCAUGGUAAAUGUUCAGUAUUACUGUUUCCUCCCAAAUAUCAUAACUAAAUCGAAAAUGUUUGAAUCUGAAACAACUUUUUUAAACUUUGUCAAUUUACCAAAACGUGAAAAGGCCCCUUUAACACACUCACAAUACCUUACCUGACAAAGCUUCUACUUGGGGCAUGUAAUGCUUUUAUUUUAUGCAGCAUCCUAUUUGAAAUAUGUUGGUUUCCAUAGACUUGAAAGUAUAAUUGUUUGGUUGUUAUCAUUAUGUAAUAUUUCUCGCAAUGUCAAUCAUUUUAUGUAAUGCACAUGUAUGUAAAUAAAUAACAAUUUGAGCAAUUUUAUGUUAUGCACAUGUAUGUAAAUAAAUAACAAUUUGAG